CUUAGCCAUAAUUUACGUUGUCAAGCAAUAGUUUGUCCUUGGUACGUUGGAAAUAAAAAUUAAAAAAAAUAAAAAGUGAUUUGAACAUUUGACUUAAAUCUAGGAUCGCUUAAUGAUGUCGUGGCCAGUAACAAUCUGCAGAUUACAUCAUGCAAUAAAAAGUCAAAUAUACAAUACAUAAAGUUAUUAUACUUUAUUUUUUUGCGCACAGAAUGUUGGGGUGUAUUGGACAGAUAAGAAGGAAACGUUUAACCCGUUCGAGGUGGAGGUGACAGAUGUUGACCAGAGAGUGGAAUUCUCCACUUGGACUUACGAACUGAGCCACAAAGACAAGAAAGCACCUCAGCCCAUCAAACAAUUCCGCUGCCCAUUUUUCACGAGUGAACCAACACUGGAGACUAUACCAACGCUUUUGACUGUACUGCAGAGUGUUGACAUGUGGCGAGUUAAGGCUGGCGACGGACCUGUACUGGUUCAUUGCAGGGAUGGCGUGACAAAGAGUGGGUUGUUCUGCGUGGCUUGGACUGUGCUAGAAAGACUGAAGGUUGACCAGAACGUCAAUAUCCUACAGACUGUAAAGCAGAUGAGGAACAACAGACCGGAGAUUAUAACAGAUGUGGGUCAGCUUAACUUCAUCCACCAGGUCGUCAUGGGAUAUCUGGACAACUUCCAAACGUACGCCAAUUUCAGACCAAUGACAACAGUUUCGGAGGCGAUGUAAAAUAAGUUCAGAAAAGAUUCCACUAAUAGUUUCUACGCUAUGACUGGAUUAAUCAAAACUGUUUCUUAUUUCCAUUUGCCAAACUUGCUGUGGCCUCAGUGCUGUAUCUUUGUGUAACUUUAUGCCAUAACCAAUGAGCUUUUAUGUCAAUGGUUUGUCACUGUUGAUUCUGUUGGUGUUAACUAAAACUGUGUUGUGUUGGGUUUGCUGCUCACUUUGUUGUUGCUGUAAAGGUAGGGGUUUAGGACGUUAAGUGUUGUAACUGUUGUGAAAAUGCGUUCAAAUCAUGACUAUUGUGUGCUUAUUGCUGUAAAUAUGCUUUGUUCCUGUAACGGUCAUUUAGAUGAUUAAGUUUUUGAUUUAAUAAUGCGGUUUCUAGGUCAUGAUGAUAGUGCUAUGUUUGGUGUAUAUUUAGGCUUUUUAGAUCAUGAUGAUUGUUUUAUUGAUUUAGUAAAACGCUUUUUAGGUCGUGAUCAUAGUGUUUUGAUUGGUGUAAGUUUUGGUUUUCAGAUCAUGAUAAUAGUGCGGUGAUUGGUGUAAAUUUACGUUUUUAGGUCGUGAUGACUGUGCUGUUGAUAAAGUCAUGAUAAUAGUUAUGUUACUGGUGUAAAUUUACGGUUUAUAGGUCAUUAUUUAUGCUUAUACUGCUACAAAAUUUUCGGGUUUUGAUUAUUUUUGUUUUUGUCAUUAAUGUACGAUUUUGAAUGUUUUAUUGAUUUGAAACUCUGAUUAUAUAACAAGUCAGUUAUGCCGUCAUUACCGUAAAUGUAUUGUUUAGGUUUAAAGGAGAAGAAAACAUAACAAUGAUGGAAGAGCGUUAAAAUGGCGCAUUCGUUUGAAAGACUCCUAUCAUUUUUGAUAUCUAGCAUAUCUUUGAACUUUCUUAGACACAGUGUGUUGUGUGACGAUUUUAUAUUAUUACAACUGACUGGUCAACAUUUUGUAACAAGGAAAGGUUUUGCGAAAUGUAAAGCCACUGGGGUUAGUCAUGCUGGAUGAGAUGUUAUUGAUAUAAAGGUGAAGCUGUUUUGGUCCUGCGAUUUUUUUAUUGUUGUAAUAUCACAUCGUAUAGAGCAUGUUGUGUCUGCUGUUAUUGCGGUAAAGACAUGG